GCAGACACAUUCCAGCCAAUCAGCAGCAGACUCUCCCUCCCAGACCCUCCCACCUCCUGGACAGCAUCCAUUUUACAUUCAUUGUGAAGCUGCAUUCUUAGUGAGCUGUCCAGGAGGUGGGAGGGUCUGGGAGGGAGGGUCUGCUGCUGAUUGGCUGGAAUGUGUCUG